AAAUCUUUCUUUCACUCUCUUUUUCUCUAUCUUCAUCAAAUACUUUGACUCCAUACAUAUAAUUUUGUAUUUCUUCUCCUUAUGAUUAAAAAACUAAGCUUAUGAAGAUACUCACCUGUUCACUUGGGCUCUACUGUUUUGUUAACCCUUUUGAUAGCAACCUCUUGAAGACAACCUCUGUUUAUAUGCUUGUGGAGGCAUGUGGCUUAGUGGUUAGGAUUUUGGACACAUGAUCAUAAGAUUGUGGUUUCGAUUCCUGGAGCAGGCGAUGUGUUGUGUUCUUCAGCAAAACACGUAAUUUCACAUUGCUCCAGUCCACUUAGAUGGCAAAAAUGAGCAAUCCUGUGACAGACCAGCAUCCCAUCCAGGUGGAGAAUUUAUACACCAUGGAAGCCAGGAAACCAGCCCAUAUGAGUUGGCACAACUUAAAACGGCUAGCAUGAGUAGAAAAUGUUUUCAGAAGCAUGGUUGCAUGUUCUAACAACCAAGUACCCUUCCUAUUGCUAAAUAAUCACCUAUAAAAGAGGAAACAAGGGUUUGUUUUCUUAGACUGGUAAAAUGAAGCAAAUACAAUUCACUAUAAAACUGUUGUGGACAGCAUCAACAAGUAUCAAUCCAACAAAAAGCAAACAACAAAAUACACAUGUAUGCUGUUGCAUGGCAAAGAAAUGUUUCCAAUUAAAGGCUUUUGCUGAAAAUGUUAGAGACAUCCUCUCCUUAAGUUUUUCGAAAGGUUUGAAAACUCCCCACUACACAAAAUACUGGUGAUGACUGACUGUGAGGAAAGUUCUGAUGAGGAAAAUGUCCAAUUCUCUUUGAGAAGUCACUGUCAAGGUUUACCCACUGAUAUGGGCAGAAUUUUAGCAAUGCCAGCUUAUGCAGCAAUUGGAAAGAGUCAAAUAAUUUGUCACAUUUUAUCUCAUUUGCUCUUUAGCCAUGACAAAAAUUAAUAAA